AAGACUAUUGAUUUAAUCAUCAUGUCAUUCUCGCGAAGGCAGGAAUCUCCUUAGUAUUUAAGAGAUCCCCGUGUUAAGCACGAGGAUGACUACUGUUUUUAUGAUACAUACU
rnacentral:ncRNA from 1 species